CCUGGGCUAGAAUGUAUUUUGCCACCUUGAGAAAUUGAGGGUUCCUUCGGGACGGAAUACAAGGUGCUGCAUGGCUGUCGUCAGCUCGUGCCGUGAGGUGUUGGGUUAAGUCCUAUAACGAGCGAAACCCUUUUACUUAAUUGCCAGCACGUAAUGGUGGGGACUUUAAGUAGACUGCCCGUGUAAGCGGGAGGAAGGAGAGGAUGAGGUCAAGUCAUCAUGGCCUUUAUGCCCAGGGCUACACACGUACUACAAUGGCAUGUACAAAGGGAAGCUACUUGGUAAUAAGAUGCAAAUCUUAAAAGCAUGUCUCAGUUCGGAUUGAGGUCUGCAAUUCGACCUCAUGAAGUUGGAAUCGCUAGUAAUCGCGUAUCAGCAAUGACGCGGUGAAUACGUUCUCGGACCUUGUACACACCGCCCAUCAAGCCAUGGGAGUUGGUAGAGCUUGAAGACAGUGGCA
rnacentral:rRNA from 1 species